rnacentral:lncRNA from 1 species
AAUGUCUUCUGGUGGGCGAGUGCACUCUCGAAUGCAGCCGAGACAGGCACCGAGUUAUCCACAUUGGUCGAGUUGAUGAGUCAAUCCAUUGCUGUUUUCGACGAUGAAUACAUGAGAUCCGUCCAAGGUGAACAAGGGUUUGAAGCCAUCGCUGAGCACUUGAACCAGCUGGAGCUGUUGUUUUCCUUUGAAAAACCUGAUAUUUUCGCCUUCACCAACUGGAUCAAUACCGAUUUUCACAAACUAGAUUUCGAAUGGGGGCAACGUUCUUCAUUUGCAUUACUGGGAAAGUAACAUUAUUCAAAAUAAUAAUUAAUUAAAAAUAUAUAGAUAUAAAUUAUUUUGAUAUUUGAAAUAUAGUGAUAAUAAAAAAAAUUCUAAUCAUUAUUAAAGAAUUUGUAAAAAAUAUAAAAAAUUUUGAUAUAUUGUAAAUUUUAAUUUAAAAAUAGUAUUUUUAUCUUUUAUUAUUUUUAUACAACAUUUUAACUAAAAAAUUACAAAAAUAGUAUUUUUAAAUAAAGAUUUAAACUGAAAUUGAUAAGAAUUUAUACAUAACUAUUCAUUUAUUGAAUACAUCUUUUAUAAAUAUGUUUUAUAUAAAAUUUUAUCAUUUCACCCAGUUAAUAAAUAUUUAAUUAUAAAUAUGAUUCAUUUUUAUGAUUUUAUUAUGAUUCAUUUACUAAAUCGAAUUAUGAUGAAUAGUUCAAAAAUUUUAAAAAAAUUCGUUUAAAUUAAACUGAUAACAUCCCUAAAAAUAAUAGACUGAGGCGACAUUAUAUAUAUGUGAUAAUAUAUUUAUCAUUUCAAAUUUUGAAAAUAACAAAAAUUAAUUGAUUUAACAGCUACAACUUCAUCAGGACUAGCAGAAUUAAACCUAUGCUUUUAAUAAGGUGAAAAAGUGCAAAAUUUAACCUAUUCUUUUAAAUAAAUUGAAAAAAAGAAGAAGCAAAAUCCGACCUGCCGGAUUCGAACCAGCGACCUAAGGAUGGCUAUUAGGAUGUCCUACUACAGUCCUCCGCUCUACCAACUUAGCUAAGGACGGUUAAUUGUUAACAAUAUUAUAGAAUUCCUUAAUUAAACUGAUAUGGAAAUUAUUUGGAUAAUUAAUACUUACAUGACGUAUUUAACUUUUUUUUUUAUAAUAUUAGUACUUAAAGUUACUUAUGUCAAUUCUUACAAUUACCACAAGUAAUUUUCUUUUUCAUUAACGGAAAUUAUCACUUGACCGGUUUGACUAUUAACAUCGUUGACAUGGUUGACAAAAGCUACCAAAAUUUGCCACGUGGUAGUAUGCUAACCUAGCAUGCCUAGUCAGCAAAAAAAAAUUAUUUUUUAAAAUUUUGAAUAAUUAUUUUUUGAAAAUAUAGUUUUUUUUUAUAAAAAUUCAAAUGUGCAUAUAGAAUGAAUCUAGAUAAUAAGUUCUCCAGAUUCAAAUGAAUUUGUACAAACGGCUGUACAAAUUCAUUUUAGAGGAGUACAAAAUUAAAAAAAAUCUAAAAAUAAAUAAAAUUAUCAAAUGUUAAAAAACUCAAAAAAAAAUUUAAAAUAUUUUUAAUUUUUUUAAAUCAAUGAAGAUUUUUAACAAUUUGCUACGUAGUUCCAAAUCAACAACAUAAAAUUAAAGUUUUAAUUAAUGUAAUUAAAAUGCAUAUUUUUUAAUUUAAAAAAUUUUGAUUUUUUUAUAUUUGCCACGUGAGCAUGAAAUUUACAUUUUUCAAUUAUAACAUUCAAUUUAGCUAUCAUUACGAUUUAAUCUGAAAUACCAAAACAUCAAAUAACUAUCAAUCUAAUCUAUACAUAGUAUAAUAUUUAUCAAAACUACAUUCAGAACAUCAAUUAAUGAAUUUAAAUCUUUAUAUGAACUUACCUCGACAAAAACAAUUGUAAAAACGAAACUGACAACUAAUCUGACACUUUAGCUUUUCCUCAGUUUAGAUCCGUUUGGUUCGUUUAUUGAUCCAAACAAUAAGUUUCAUUCAAUUAAACCACCGAAAUAACUUAGAAUAAUUAAUUCAACUUAUAACCCUUAUCAAUGAGAAAUUACAACUUUUAAUUAAUCGAUCAAGUUUAGAGUUCAGGGUUUAAGAUUCAAGGUUGGGAUUUGAGGUUUAGGGUUCCGAGUUUUGGGUUUAGAAUUCAAGGUUUGGUUUAAAAAAUUUACCAAAAUUAUAAAUCAAUGACAUAAAAAGAAUUGUUGAAAUAUCAUUAAAUAGUUGAAAAGAAAUACAGGAUGCCAUGACGCCCCUGCUCAUCUACUAAAAAUUUGAAUAUGAAUAUGAAAAAAUAUAUAAUUAUAUAAAUCAAACACAUGCAUUCAACACUUAUAUUAAAAUCCAACUAGAUUUUAAAUAUGGGUGGGUCGGGUCCAAAUUUACUUUUCUUAAAUCGGAUCGAGUUUGAAUAAAAAAGUAAGUCCAUUUUCUGGACUGAAUUAAUCCCGAACUUAAAAAAUUGACUUAAAUAAGUUGCAUGAAUUCGACCCAAAUCUAACCCAACCCAAUUCAUAAAUAUCACUUAUUGCAAUUAAGCUAACGAAAAUUAUUAAGUUAAAUAACUUCUUAAAAUAGGUGAGUAGACAAUUUAAGCUAAUAAUAAUUCAAAGAAAAAGGUGCAAAGUGUAGGCCAUGAGCAUUAAAAUUUUCCUUCUUCUUGGAGUAAGCACAAUUACUAAAGAGUGAAUUCAAUUUAAACAACUAGGACCUAUAAUAAGAGCAUUCAUUUUUCUUUUCUGCCUCUUGCAUUUAUAUGGUAACUCACCCUUACAUAUCAACAUACAAAAUUGUUCUUUCAAAAAAGGACAUUUGUUUAUAUAAGUUAUUUUAGAUAAAACAUCAAUAAAAUAUUCUUCCAACUCAUAUUCGGGGUUAUACAAGCUUAUAAAAGCUCCAAUGGUAACCCGAGACCAUAUGAGAACUAAAAUACAAAGUUCUCAAGUUUUAUCGAGUUGGCGUCGCCACCAUGAAGGUUUCACGUCACGUCAUCCAUGGCAAAAACAUGGCGUCGUGACUUUGGUGCAAUGUUACGACUCUAAAAACAGUGAGUUGACGUUGCGACCUCAAACAGGGGACAUAGUGAUGUUGAAAGCUAGUGUCGCGACCUUGUAGGCAAAAUCCUACAAGCUCAUACCUUUUUAGUUUCAUCUUAUCAUUUAACAAAGUAUAGUUGAUCUUAAGACCUAAGUAACAAACAUCACAAUAUAUAGGUCCAAUUUCACAUCUUAAACCAAUAAGACUUUAACCGUCAUUCCACCAACACGCUUACAAGUGUGGGGUCCAAUUUGCACCCCUUACCCAUACGGGCCGUGUGCAAAAAUCCCGCGUCUCACAAGUAUGGUUCGAUUAAAAACGAUAGAGGAGUAGAUAGAUUGCGAAUGCACGUCUCCAAAAUUCGAUUUUCCAGCUAAUUAUAAACAAAAAACAUACAAAAUCUUAAAUUUCAAUAUAACAACAAAAUAAUUAGAUUAAAUUAGAUUAAAAGUAAUAAAAAAUUCUUACCAUUUGCAAUUGAACGGUCGAACUAAACGAAUAAGAGAAUUUGUCAUUAAUAAUUUCAAUAAAUAAGAAUAAAAAUUGUAAUACAAAAUUAAUUAAAAAAACCUUAAUACAAUUUUAAUAAAAAAUUGAGAAUGAACUGAGAGAAUUGAGUGAGAAUUAAGAGAAGAUUGAGAAUGAAUUGAGAGAGUUGAGAGUGAAUUGAAAAAGUGGGAUAUUUGGGGUUUAAAUAGGGGAAAAGACUUGCCGUUAGGAGGGAGUCGUUGGAAUUCGAUCGUAGCCGUUAGGAAAAACGCGUCUAGCUGAAUAUGUUUUGUUGACUAAGCAGGAAAGCGCAUCCAGUUGGAAGCAUUUUCGUGCCAAAUCUACUCUCUCUCCAAAAUCGGCUUAAUUUGAUAAAUUUUAGAAAAAAAUCGGUCUAAUCCGCUAUUUUUUUCGAAAAAAAAUAGCAUUUUUGGGUAAUUCACCCAAAAUAUGUUACUAUGAACGCUUAUUAUCAAUGUUUAAUACAAUUGUUUACUAUUAUUAACUAUAUUUUUGGCAGAUUUAUUGGAGAUCUUAUAAUGAAUUAGGCUUUAACAAAGGUAAACUAAGUGAAGGGCUUUUAUAGUAGUUUAGCCUAAACUAGAAGAUCGUAUAGUGGAGGCCUUGAACUCCAAUAGUUUAUAUAUUUUUCUCCUUCCUAUAUAUAAAGUUUGUCUAAACAUAUUGGUGAGGGAAAAAAAACAAAGAAAAUGAUGAAGUUUGAGGCUCAGAUUCUUUCAAAAGAAAUCAUCAAACCAUCUUCCCCAGAAAUUCAUCAAAAAGAACCCUUCAAACUCUGUGUAUUUGAUCAGCUAACUCCCACCACUUAUGUUCCAAUCAUAGUAUUUUAAGCCCUGAGUGAUACCAACACCACCAAUAUUUUGACUCAGCUGAAGAAAUCUCUUUCAGAAACCCUAAACAUCUUGUAUCCCUUCUCUGGGAGAAUCUUUAGUAACCUGUUCAUCCAUGAUUUCGACGCGGGUGUUCCGUUUUUAUCGGCUCGAAUCGGUUGUCGAUUAUCCGAGUUUCUCAGGCAUCAUACAAAUUGAGACCUUGAACAACUUGCUCCCGUGCACUCCUUUAUCCAAGGAAUCAAAUCAUCGGGGUCCUCUCUUGGUUUGUCAAGUCACCAUGUUUGCAUGUGGUGGAAUAGCUUUAGGCAUCUGCGCCUCACAUAAAAUCACUGACGCCAACACAACCGUCAUUUUAGGCUUUGUUUGGAGCACAAUCUGCCAAGGAUACCACCCUGAAAUUAGAUUUCCUGCCUUAUCUAAGGCAUCCUUGAUCUUUCCACCUAAAAAUCCAAUGCCCAAGAAUUACAUAUAUCCAUGAUGGAAAACUUAUGGUUCACUGAAGGUAAUUUUAUUACACGGAAAUUUGUGUUUAAUGAGGAAGCAAUAGCCAUCCUAAAGGACAUGACAAAAGGGGAAGUCGUGACCACACCGACACGAACCGUAGCUAUCUCGGCUUUCAUCUGGAAAUGUUCAAUGGCGGCAUCCAGGGCGAUACAAGGAACCUUGAAACCAUCCAUUGUAGUCCAAGUGGUGAAAAUGAGGUCAAAAGGGAAGCUUACGACAUUAGAUGGUUCGAUUGGGAAUGUGUUUUGGUUGGCGAGUGCACUCUCGAAUCCAGCCGAGACAGGCACCGAGCUAUCCACAUUGGUCGAGUUGAUGAGUCAAUCCAUUGCUGCUAUCGACGACGAAUACAUGAGAUCCGUCCAAGGUGAACAAGGGUUUGAAGCCAUCGCUGAGCACUUGAACCAGCUGGAGCUGUUGUUUUCCUUUGAAAAACCUGAUAUUUUCGCCUUCACCAGCUGGAUCAAUACUCAUUUUGACAAACUAGAUUUCGGAUGGGGGCAACCUUGUUCAUGGGCAAUACUGGGAAAAGCAGG